GACGAACGCUGGCGGCGCGCUUAACACAUGCAAGUCGAGCGAAGCGGCGGACGGGUGAGUAACCCGUGAGUAACCUGACUACGACAUUGGGAUAGACUCGGGAAACCGGGAUUAAUACCAAAUGGUCUAAGAUGGACUCGCGUCCCAUUAGCUAGUUGGUGAGGUAACGGCCCACCAAGGCGACGAUGGGUGGCCGGCCUGAGAGGGUGAACGGCCACAUUGGAACUGAGAAACGGUCCAAACUCUACGGGAGGCAGCAGUGGGGAAUAGUGCACAAUGGAGGGAACUCUGAGUCAGCGACGCCGCGUGAACGAAGAAGGCUUUCGAGUCGUAACGUUCUUUUAUAGGGGAAGCGGUACCAUAAGAAAAAGCCCCGGCUAAAAAAGUGCCAGCCGCCGCGGUAAUUC
rnacentral:rRNA from 1 species